UGGUAGAAAUAGACUGGUAUACGCCCUAAUACACUUUUUAUAAUAUUUCUCUUUGUUUACUUGUCUAUAUCUAGUGGUCAUUGGGUACAUCCUAAUGUCUGAUUGCUAAAGCUAUUUGUUGAUUAAAUAAAUGCAGUGAGACACUGGUGGAACUGGUCGAAGAUAGGUGUGGCUGCACAGGGCACAACGAAAGUGGAAUAAGAGUCUCAGCAACGUGAGAUUAGAGAGGUAGAGAAGGUUCCUCAGCUAUGUGGGGUUAGAGAAGUAGAGAAGGUUCCUCAGCUAUGUGGGGUUAGAGAGGUAGAGAAGGUUCCUCAGCUAUGUGGGGUUAGAGAAGUAGAGAAGGUUCCUCAGCUGUGUGGGGUUAGAGAGGUAGAGAAGGUUCCUCAGCUAUGUGGGGUUAGAGAAGUAGAGAAGGUUCCUCAGCUAUGUGGGGUUAGAGAGGUAGAGAAGGUUCCUCAGCUAUGUGGGGUUAGAGAAGUAGAGAAGGUUCCUCAGCUAUGUGGGGUUAGAGAGAGAAGGUUCCUCAGCUAUGUGGGGUUAGAGAAGUAGAGAAGGUUCCUCAGCUAUGUGGGGUUAGAGAAGUAGAGAAGGUUCCUCAGCUAUGUGGGGUUAGAGAGGUAGAGAAGGUUCCUCAGCUAUGUGGGGUUAGAGAAGUAGAGAAGGUUACUCAGCUAUGUGGGGUUAGAGAGGUAGAGAAGGUUCCUCUACUUGUGAUUCCUUUGAAGAGGAAAUGGAUUUCCUUUAUUUUGCAGCUGUUCCAGUGUGUGUACAAACUAAGUGUCACGUCCUGACCUUAGUUCCUUUUCUAUGUCUCUAUUUUGGUUUGGUCAGGGCGUGAGUUGGGGUGGGCAUUCUAUGUGUUCUAUGUGUUUUUUUUUCUUUCUAUGUUUUCUAUUUCUAUGUGUUUGACCUGGUAUGGUUCCCAAUCAGAGGCAGCUGUCAAUCAUUGUCUCUGAUUGAGAACCAUACUUAGGUAGCCUUUUCCCACCUGUGUUUUGUGGGUAAUUAUUUUUUCCGUGUUUGUGUUGGUGUGCACCUCGGUUGUGUCACGGUCUUUUUCUUCUUGUUUUCUGUUUACCUGUUUGUUUCUUGGUUGUUUCGGUUUCACUUUCAUUAAAAGACGUGGAACUACA